rnacentral:rRNA from 1 species
GCACAAGCAGCGGAGCGUGUGGUUUAAUUCGAUGCUACACGAAGAACCUUACCAGGGUUUGACAUAUAGGUUGUAGGGAACUGAAAAGGGACCGACCCUUCGGGGAGCCUAUACAGGUGUUGCAUGGCUGUCGUCAGCUCGUGUCGUGAGAUGUUCGGUUAAGUCCGCUAACGAGCGCAACCCUCGUCGUAUGUUAUAUGUGUCAUACGAGACUGCCGGUAAAAGCCGGAGGAAGGUGAGGAUGAUGUCAAGUCAGCAUGACCCUUAUAUCCAGGGCUACACACACGCUACAAUGGUCUGUACAAUGGGUAGCCAAGCCGCGAGGCGGAGCCAAUCCUGAAAGCAGGCCUCAGUUCAGAUUGCAGUCUGCAACUCGACUGCAUGAAGCCGGAGUUGCUAGUAACCGCAGGUCAGCAAUACUGCGGUGAAUACGUUCCCGGGUCUU